GGGGUUGUGGCUCAGUGAUAGACCACUUGCCUAGCAUGCAUGAGGCACUGGGUUUGAUCCUCAGCACCACA
rnacentral:tRNA from 1 species